rnacentral:rRNA from 1 species
ACGGCUCAGUAACACGUGGAUAACCUGCCCUUGGGACCGGCAUAACCCCGGGAAACUGGGGAUAAUUCCGGAUAACGCAUAUAUGCUGGAAUGCUUUAUGCGUGAAAUGGAUUCGUCUGCCCAAGGAUGGGUCUGCGGCCUAUCAGGUAGUAGUGGGUGUAAUGGACCUACUAGCCUACAACGGGUACGGGUUGUGAGAGCAAGAGCCCGGAGAUGGAUUCUGAGACAUGAAUCCAGGCCCUACGGGGCGCAGCAGGCGCGAAAACUUUACAAUGCGGGAAACCGUGAUAAGGGGACACCGAGUGCCAGCAUCAUAUGCUGGCUGUCCAGGUGUGUAAAAUACACCUGUUAGCAAGGGCCGGGCAAGACCGGUGCCAGCCGCCGCGGUAACACCGGCGGCCCGAGUGGUGAUCGUGAUUAUUGGGUCUAAAGGGUCCGUAGCCGGUUUGGUCAGUCCUCCGGGAAAUCUGACAGCUCAACUGUUAGGCCUUCGGGGGAUACUGCCAGACUUGGAACCGGGAGAGGUAAGAGGUACUACAGGGGUAGGAGUGAAAUCUUGUAAUCCCUGUGGGACCACCUGUGGCGAAGGCGUCUUACCAGAACGGGUUCGACGGUGGGGGACGAAAGCUGGGGGCACGAACCGGAUUAGAUACCCGGGUAGUCCCAGCCGUAAACGAUGCUCGCUAGGUGUCAGGCAUGGCGCGACCGUGUCUGGUGCCGCAGGGAAGCCGUGAAGCGAGCCACCUGGGAAGUACGGCCGCAAGGCUGAAACUUAAAGGAAUUGGCGGGGGAGCAC